rnacentral:lncRNA from 1 species
UACCGUUUAUCUGCGGUUGCAGGCUUUGGUUGAUCACAAUCUUAUUGCCAUUUUGGAUCUAAUCUUGAGGCCCCACAAAGUAUGUGUUGCCUUCAAUUAUUUAAACAGAAAAGAGAUGGGGAAAAAGGCAAGACGGUCGGGGGUGCCACCCAAUGUCGCCAUUUGAAGAAUACGUCGCUCUAAAUACUGUGGAUAAGAGUGAGAUUGCAAAGAUGGGGUCCCACAUUGAUGACUGGAUGUAAGCUUGGAUCGGCAAGACGAAGGAAUCUACGGACGCUGCAGGUGAGGUGGUGGCUUGACUGGGGGGAUCGGGAUCUCUAAUCCUGUUCGAUGGGUUCGGGUUUCACCCAUUCCGAUCAAAGAACGCGCCAAAUCAGAUCAGGUUUGAAGCUUAUUACUCUGAUAUUAAACUAUGGUUUUCUUUCUUCUGCGUCCCAAUCAUCUCUUCGCAUCUUCUUUUGUUAUAUUCCGCUUGUUUUGUAGUCUUCAAAACUGCUCGAUAUGAGACGCCAUUUCUUCGUGUGCGCUUUCGCAUGGAAGUUCUUCCCUUGUUGGCGUCUUCUCGGUGGAUGGACUCCGGAUUCCAAGGUUGAUGUCCGCUGUCCGUCCCUUCAAGGAACUUGAUUGCUGUCGCUUUUGCUAGCUCGGUCGAUAGGCCUCGGCGGUGCUAGGAAAAGGCUGAUGAUGGUGGUGGUUGUAUUGCAUCUUCUAUUCUGGCAAAUCCUGACUUUUUGACGAGUUUUUUUCUCAACCUCUGUCGUCGACCUCCGUUCACAAGCUUCUGAUGGAAAAGUAAUCCGAUGGCAUGAGAAGUCUCUAUUUUAACUAUCUAUCCUGGCAUAAACAUCUGAUGCACCUAACACGAUUCAAAGUGUUUCCAGUUAUCGCCGGCGCCAGUUGAUGCGUCUUUACUCGGAUCAUGUCCCAGUGGGUCCAAGAACUGUGGCUAUAUAGUGAGAAGCACUAAUUGCUGCUCCCUGGCUGUCUGCGAACUGAUUAGAAAGCGCACCUACCGAGUUAUGUGGCUCCUUUGGACCCCUCGCCGGAAAAUUAUAAUAAUGAGGAUCGAUGGACCUCUUAGUUGGUCCCGACUAUCAUAAUCCUCGGGGAAAGCUUGCGGUGAUGGCCAGCGAGAUGGUCGAGGAGGGAAGGCCCAUGCGAUGCUUAUCCCGUGACACGAAUGCGAAGGGCGGGCCACAUCCAGUUCGAACUGCGGGAACUCGAGUGGGAAGGCAGCGUUAGUCUCUUUCCUUGGCCUAUUUCUCGAUGCCGCUCUUCUUUAGUCUCGAUCGCUGCAGGAGCUACGAGAAGCAUAUUCACGCUUGGCAAGUCCUUUUGUCGGGGACUCCAAACCUGUGUGCCAGUUUUUGGUAGCUGAAAUAGUUAGAUGCAUCACAUACUAUCUAAUUUCAGAUCAGAGAAAGCCAUGAAGUGGAUGGAAGCAUCGUUGGAUUGGUACUCUGUUCUCCUCAAAUGGUUUCUUUAGCCCAAAAGAAAAAGGUAUAUUACUAGACACCAUAAUUCUUGUGAGGGAAUAAUGGGUCGGCCUUCAACCGGGUCUGGUCCUGGGCCAUAACCGGUUCAGCCCAGACCACUUGUCAUUCAUUUCUUUUCUCUCUUCUUUGACUAGACCAAUUGACGUACAAGUUGGAUUGUCUCUCGGAUCUCAAGAAACCAAAAUUAAUUGAGGAGGAGGAAGACACUCUCUGAAAAUGCACUACACUCGACUUUGCCUUUAGCAAGCUGCAAAUGCAACACCAUCUGCUACAUCUGCUGAUGUCGUCGCAUUCAUGGAGAGCUGAUGGCCAAAUCACAUUAAUUUAAUAUAAAUAAAGAACAUGAUUCUUCUUCUAAAUUUAUGGAACUUACUCUUAUCAAAAGAUACCACGAGCCUCAAUCCAAUAUAAAUAUUAUACCACUUCUGAUGGGGAGGGGAGGAGCGGCGUGCUGGUUCACUACUUCAUGUAGUCGAUCCGGACGCCGUCCACGGUGGUGUUGACCCCCGUGCCGCCUCUUGGCACCAGUGUCACCCAGAUGCUGUCAUCUUCGUCUGCCUCGAGGUCUUCCAAAAGUUCCGAUAUACCGAGCUUAAGGUGGCUUUUCAUCUUCGAAUCCAUGCCGCCAUCGUCAUGGCUUUUCGUCCUCGAGACGUGGUGGAGAUUGACGAAGGUCCCUGCGAACUCCCUCGACUUUGGGCUCAGCACGGUUUCGUCGACGACGUUGAUGAACACAUCGAAUUUGACGAAUCUGCUUCUCUUAGUAUCGAUUCCGUAGACCAAUAAGAUCUCCUCUUCUUCCUCUUUUUCUUGCCCUGUCCUGUUGAUCCUUGGCCUGUCAACCCUCACGGUGAUGGUCUUGUCCAGUGUCCAGCUACCAUAUUCGGAGAGUUGUGAACGAUCCGUUUCGCCGGGCAUUCUCAGUACGCCUUCGCCAUUGCGCUUCUUCAAUAUGUCGCGCGCGAUCUUAGGGUGAACGGAAGGCUUGGGACGUGCAGCGAGCCAUGGCAUGUCGAUGUCUUCGUACCGGUACCUGAGUUUGUCUAUGUUCAACACGUCGCGCACCUUGAUCCUGCGCAGGCGCACAUUCUCGUCGUAGAAGGUGAACUCCGACUCGAGCCACUCCUGGUCGACGAACUCCGGCUUGUCGCCGUGCAGCUUCUUCCACACGGUCCACAUGCGGUCGAUGUUGGAGUGGUGCGCGAAGAACACUUCGUCUCGCGCGGCGGAGUAGAACGCCCCCAUGUUCUCUCUUUCGGGGUUGUACCUGUUCCCUACCCAGCUGUGCAACGUGUUGUGAGGUGCCGCUUCGAUCGUCCCGGGCCCAUCACACCACCCCUCGACGCCGGACCGCAGCUUGCAACCCAUGAACAGCUCGGUCUUCUUCGCUCCCGAGAUCAUCUGGUGGUACAUGAACGCGAGGUUGUCGGCGAUCUGCACGUCGCUGGCGAGGUCAUGAUCCACGUAGUCGAAGUCAUCGACGGCGGCCUCCCGUAGGUGAAUGGCGUCGCGCUCCGUCUCAUUCAGAGCUCCCUUCCGGUAGAUGUCGGGGAACCACAUGCCCUCGGGGGUGUCCCAGCUCCAGUAGGGGAGCGCGAAGGUGUCGUCUCCCAUGAACUUCCCGAGGAUGCGCUCGUGGAAAUAGAUGAAGGCUCGGUGCCAGGGGAAGAAGAGCCAUGACCUGUGGAUCUUGAAGAGGGCAGAGGAGUUCAUCUGGUCGUAGGCGCCGGUGCAGUAGAGGCAGUGCAUGUUGGCCUGGCGCCAAAAGUUGUGGGGAUGGUCAGGCGGGAUCUGCUUCAUGAUGGCCACCGCCCUCUCAUACUUGGCCACGAACUCCUCGUCGACGAGAUGGGCAGGCCGUCGGAUACGCACCGGCGACGACGGAUCCGGGAACUCGAAGUCGAGCAAGGUUUGGUCGGCGUCUUUCCAGGCCGGGCAACAGUAGACCGGACGAUCGGCGUCCGAGAAUGAAGCAUGGCAAACCGAUAGGUUUGCUUUGAGGGGAAUGCCCUUGCUCUUGCUUCCAUCUCUCUGUUCUCCGCCUUGAGGAUUCACUGGUAUUCUGCAAGUUCAAACUCCAUUUCAGCAUUUUGGAUCCGAGAUCGUUGCAAAUCAAAGAGAAUAUAUAGCAUUUCACCCCACAUAUAUAGGAUUCACAUUAUUCGAUUACAUUAUACCUUGUUUCUUCAGCUAAAUACGAACUAAGAACACAAGGAACUGAACCACCAACGUAUGAUGGGGAAAUUCUUUUUCUUUAUUUUUCCCUUAAGAAAGCCAUACUUGUCACGCCAUGGAUCCCACAUCCGUUACUGCUCCG